GUUUUCUACGAGGCAAAAAGCAUGUGAUAGAAAAGCAUGAACAGUAGGCAAGUGUCAACCAACUUUGAUUAAAGAGGCUUGUUACCACUAAAAGAUGUGUCCCUCCAGUGUGAAGCAUGUAAGCACAUAGGCAAGGAACAGCGUGUUACAGCUACAACCUCAAGUUGCCCAGAUGGUGCAUGUGUGUAAGUGGACACUCGUCAAGGACCAGAACGAGGCA